rnacentral:rRNA from 1 species
CCUACGGGGGGCAGCAGUGGGGGAUAUUGCACAAUGGGGGAAACCCUGAUGCAGCAACGCCGCGUGUGGGAAGAAGGUUUUCGGAUUGUAAACCACUGUUCUUGGUGAAGAUAAUGACGGUAACCAAGGAGUAAGCUUCGGCUAACUACGUGCCAGCAGCCGCGGUAAUACGUAGGGAGCAAGCGUUAUCCGGAUUUACUGGGUGUAAAGGGUGCGUAGGCGGUCAUGCAAGACAGACGUGAAAACCACGGGCUAAACCUGUAGACUGCGUUUGAAACUGUGGGGCUUGAGUGAAGUAGAGGUAGGCGGAAUUCCCGGUGUAGCGGUGAAAUGCGUAGAGAUCGGAAGGAACACCAGUGGCGAAGGCAGCCUACUGGGCUUUAACUGACGCUGAGGCACGAAAGCAUAGGUAGCAAACAGGAUUAGAUACCCGGGUAGUC